AACGAACGCUGGCGGCAGGCCUAACACAUGCAAGUCGAGCGAGAAGGUUAUGACGGAUUCUUCGGAUGACAGAUUAACUGGAAAGCGGCGGACGGGUGAGUAACGCGUGGGUAACCUGCCCCAUACACAGGGAUAGCCAUUGGAAACGAUGAUUAAUACCUGAUAACACAUUUGAAUCGCAUGGUUUAAAAUGUCAAAGAUUUAUCGGUAUGGGAUGGACCCGCGUCUGAUUAGCUAGUUGGUAAGGUAAUGGCUUACCAAGGCGACGAUCAGUAGCCGACCUGAGAGGGUGAUCGGCCACACUGGAACUGAGACACGGUCCAGACUCCUACGGGAGGCAGCAGUGGGGGAAUAUUGCACAAUGGGCGCAAGCCUGAUGCAGCAACGCCGCGUGAACGAAGAAGGCUUUUCGGGCGUAAAGUUCUUUCUUAGGGAAAAUGACGGUACCUAAGGAAUAAGCACCGGCUAAA
rnacentral:rRNA from 1 species